UACAUGGGGUGCAAACGUUGCUCGGAAUUAUUGGGCGUAAAGCGCGCGUAGGCGGUUACUUAAGUCGGAUGUGAAAGCCCCCGGCUCAACUGGGGAGGGUCAUUCGAUACUGAUCGACUUGAAGGCAGGAGAGGGUAGUGGAAUUCCCGGUGUAGUGGUGAAAUGCGUAGAUAUCGGGAGGAACACCAGUGGCGAAGGCGACUACCUGGCCUGUUCUUGACGCUGAGGCGCGAAAGCUGGGGGAGCAAACGGG
rnacentral:rRNA from 1 species